rnacentral:piRNA from 1 species
UAUUAUAGAAAAAUACGAUCG